UCCGGUUUGGCACCGGCAGUCUCCCUAGAGUGCCCGGCAUGACCCGCUGGUAACUAGGGACGGGGGUUGCGCUCGUUGCGGGACUUAACCCAACAUCUCACGACACGAGCUGACGACAGCCAUGCAGCAUCUGUGGUGCACCCUCGAAGGUCACACGUUUCCGUGCGCUUGCAGCACCAUGUCAAGCCCAGGUAAGGUUCUUCGCGUUGCAUCGAAUUAAAGAACAUGCUCCGCUGCUUGUGCGGGCCCCCGUCAAUUCUUUUGAGUUUUAGCCUUGCGGCCGUACUCCCCAGGCGGGACACUUAUUGCGUUAGCUGCGGCACGGAGGGGGUCGAUACCCCCCACACCUAGCACCCAUCGUUUACGGCGUGGACUAC
rnacentral:misc_RNA from 1 species